AUUGAACGCUGGCGGCAGGCCUAACACAUGCAAGUCGAACGGUAACAGGAAGCAGCUUGCUGCUUUGCUGACGAGUGGCGGACGGGUGAGUAAUGUCUGGGAAACUGCCCGAUGGAGGGGGAUAACUACUGGAAACGGUAGCUAAUACCGCAUAACGUCGCAAGACCAAAGAGGGGGACCUUAGGGCCUCUUGCCAUCGGAUGUGCCCAGAUGGGAUUAGCUAGUAGGUGGGGUAACGGCUCACCUAGGCGACGAUCCCUAGCUGGUCUGAGAGGAUGACCCGCCACACUGGAACUGAGACACGGUCCAGACUCCUACGGGAGGCAGCAGUGGGGAAUAUUGCACAAUGGGCGCAAGCCUGAUGCAGCCAUGCCGCGUGUAUGAAGAAGGCCUUCGGGUUGUAAAGUACUUUCAGCGGGGAGGAAGGGAGUAAAGUUAAUACCUUUGCUCAUUGACGUUACCCGCAGAAGAAGCACCGGCUAACUCCGUG
rnacentral:rRNA from 1 species